GUGUCAGCAGCCGCGGUAAUACGUAGGGUCCAAGCGUUAUCCGGAAUUACUGGGCGUAAAGAGUUGCGUAGGUGGCAUAGAAAGCGGACAGUGAAAGCGUGUGGCUCAACCAUACAUCCAUUGUCUGAACUCCUAAGCUAGAGAACGAGAGAGGUAGAUGGAAUUCCUGAUGUAGGGGUAAUAUCCGUAGAUAUCAGGAGGAACACCGAUGGCGUAGGCAGUCUACUGGCUCGUUUCUGACACUAAGGCACGAAAGCGUGGGGAGCAAACAGGAUUAGAAACCCUUGUAGUCC
rnacentral:rRNA from 1 species